rnacentral:rRNA from 1 species
AGUGAACGCUGGCGGUAGGCCUAACACAUGCAAGUCGAGCGGCAGCACAGUAAGAGCUUGCUCUUACGGGUGGCGAGUGGCGGACGGGUGAGGAAUACAUCGGAAUCUACUUUUUCGUGGGGGAUAACGUAGGGAAACUUACGCUAAUACCGCAUACGACCUACGGGUGAAAGCAGGGGAUCUUCGGACCUUGCGCGAUUGAAUGAGCCGAUGUCGGAUUAGCUAGUUGGCGGGGUAAAGGCCCACCAAGGCGACGAUCCGUAGCUGGUCUGAGAGGAUGAUCAGCCACACUGGAACUGAGACACGGUCCAGACUCCUACGGGAGGCAGCAGUGGGGAAUAUUGGACAAUGGGCGCAAGCCUGAUCCAGCCAUACCGCGUGGGUGAUGAAGGCCUUCGGGUUGUAAAGCCCUUUUGUUGGGAAAGAAAAGCAGCAGGUUAAUACCCCGCUGUUCUGACGGUACCCAAAGAAUAAGCACCGGCUAACUUCGUG